UAACGGCUCACCAAGGCCACGAUGCAUAGCCGACCUGAGAGGGUGAUCGGCCACACUGGGACUGAGACACGGCCCAGACUCCUACGGGAGGCAGCAGUAGGGAAUCUUCGGCAAUGGACGAAAGUCUGACCGAGCAACGCCGCGUGAGUGAAGAAGGUUUUCGGAUCGUAAAACUCUGUUGUUAGAGAAGAACAAGGACGUUAGUAACUGAACGUCCCCUGACGGUAUCUAACCAGA
rnacentral:rRNA from 1 species